CACUUUUAUCAUUGUUAAUUAGAUUAAGUGGGUCUUUGGUUUAAUUCUAUUUUUAGGGUAAUGUAAACCACAAGAUUGCUUGUGUUCUGUGCUACUACACUUUCGUUCACUGCUGUAUCUUCAGUGUCCAAGAGAAGCAUUAUACAUAUAGGUAGCAGGCACUCAAUGGGUUUUAACAGAAAGACACAUACACACACACACACACACACAGAAAGAGAGAGAAAGAUAGAGAGAGAGCACACACAAGACAGUAACGGAAGGAAGCAAAGGAAAGGAGGGAGAAAGGCAGGGAGAAAGGCAGAAGGGGAGAAGAGCUGCUUGGUAAAGGUGCAGUAGGAAGUUUCACCUACAGCACUGGGUAUUGUGGAAGUCAAGUGGAGGAAAGUUAACAUCUACUGGAGGCUGUUGUGUGCCAUUCACUGUUAAGCACUUUAUAACUGUAAUUUCAUUAAUCCUAAAACCAACCAAGCGAGCUGGUUAUUAUUGUUUCCCUUUUCACAGAUGAGAAAAUUGAGCUCACUGUUGUUAAGUGAUUUACAGAAGGUCAUACAGCUUACAAGUGGCACAGUCAAGAUUUAAAUUUUUGUCUCUCUGACUUAUGACUUACAUUUUAAAUGAGUUGUUCAUUUAUUCAUUCAGCAAAUAUUCAUUGAACAAUGUAGCACUCUUCCCUGAUAAUCUCAGAACCUGCGAUCCUAUAGGCUAAAGAUUCCCCUAAAGUAUUCCUAUAGGCUAAGUAAUCUCCCAAAGUAUUUCUUCAGUCAAAACCUCUCCUCUGAACUCCAGAUUCAUAUACCUACAUGCCUUUUUGACAUUCCCACUAGGGCUUUUGUAUAUACCUCAAGCUAAUAUAUACCAGUAAAAUUUUAGAUUAUAGACCCAAACUUGUCUUUUCCUCAGUCUCCAUUUUCUCUGCAAAUUACAUGUAACCAUCAAUCCUUUAUAAUCAGAAAAUUGGGAGUCAGCCUCAACUCUAAUUUUUUUAACUCUCUAAUUGUAUCUUCAUGUUCUCAAAGCUUUACAUGACCUGCACCCGCUUCCGUCUCUGACCCCAUUUCCGUUCUGCCUUAUAUCUGUUGGUCAUGCUGGCAGUUUUGAAAGCCAGAUCAAGUUCUUUCUCACAAAAGGAUUUUGCACUUGCUAUCAUCUUUUUAAAUACUUUCUCUAUCUUUCCUCUCAGGUCUCAGCUGAAAUGAAACCUCCUCAGAAAAAUUUGUUCCUGACAAAUUAUAACUCAAAAAUCAAAAAUUUCUAAGACCUUUGUUAUUCUCUUUAUCAUAGCAUUAUACUCAUUUUCUUCUUAGUACUUAGAAACGUCUAUAAUUGUUUUACUUCUUUGUUUACCAUUAAAUGUCUGUAUCCUUUAUAUACUGUAGGUCCUAUGAGUUCAUCAAAUUUAUCUAGUGUUUGUUUUUUGCUGUAAGCCUGUGGCUUGGCACUGGGCUUGGUACAUAGAAGGUAUUUGAGAAAUAUUGGUUUAAUCAACAAAUAUUUUUCAGCGGAAUGUCUUGAAGCCUAUCUGUGUAUUCAGAAUGCUUGCUCUAAGACACAUAAUUAUAUCCAUUUUACAAACAGGAAGGUUUUUGUGUCUAUCUCCAGCGUCUAGCGGGAGCUUUUUGCAUAGUUGGUGUUCAAUGACUAUUCUAUAAAUGAAUGAUGAUCAGAGAGGUUAGGUUGGUCCCCUACAGUAUUGAGCUUAGGUUCUUUGGUACUCUGACCCUUUUACCUGCUAUAGUGUGGGCAUAAAGGGAAGCUUUGAGGAGGAGACUUUAUAUUCUUCUGUAAUCUAUAGCAUUUCUUCCUUUCAUCCUGGAAACCAAUUCCAAUUAAAUUCCAAUCACAAUCUAUACAUUUUUUUUUUUUUAGAGACAGGAUCCCACUCUGUUUUCUAGACUGGGGUGCAGUAACAUGACCAUAGCUCACUGUAGCCUCAAACUCCUGAGCGCAAGUGAUCCUCCUGCCUCAGCCUCCUGAGUAGCUAGGACUACAGAAAAUGUUUGCUGACCUGUGCUCUGAAAUAUCUCAUAUCAGCGGCUGUCUGUAUGUCCUCAGGUCCUACCCCUGUAGUGCAGUGGUUUUGCUACUGCCUUAGGGCUUUCUUCUGGGCUGAGCACCCUGCCUGUGUUCCCAGCAGGUGGGAAGGGUACACGAAUUAACACUUCUAGGGAGCAGCCCUCAAACCAUGAGAGCCAAUGGAUAAAUACGCCAGCUCUCUUGCCCCUAGGUUGGGCAUGUUCUACACCAACUUCAAGUCUCCCACAGUGGUAACUGCUUUGAUAAAACACACUUCACUGACUUCUCACUCUGCCAGUGUCUCCUGAGAUCUCUCAAAUCAACAACUUGCAGGGGAAUCUUGGUUGCAGAAUAUGCUGCUAGGGGAAAUUCAAACUAAGACAAAUAUGGAUUAUUCUCAUAUAUAUUAUUUAUGGUGUCACUUUGAUGUAUAAGUUACUCAGGUGUGAUGAAAAAUUUAUAAUACCAAACAUUUGGGCCAUUUUUUUAUUACUACUAAUGGAAAGACAGAUUUUAUUAAUUGAUAGUUUUAUUUUGUAUGACAUUUAUUGGCCAAAUUUAUCCUGAAAGGUGCAGUUUGAUAAUUUUCUGAUAUUUUGAACAUAAAUGCCUAUUUCAGGAGAGUGAUUCUUGAAGUAUUGAAUUGAUCUUUCAUAUUGCAGAGUCUUUCUUUCAUCUUUUGUAAAAUUUAUAUUUUCUUGUUUUAUACUAAUAAAGUUUUCUGCUACCUCCUCAGAAAACUUCUGUUCAAAUUUUAUUUUGCAUCAAUAAUAGAUGGAAGCAAACCUAUCUAAGAGGCAGCCAAGGUAAUUUUUUUCAUAUGAUGAUUAGCAAUAGGUUCAGGAUGUUUAAAAAUAAGUAUUUCAGAAUCUGUGGAAAUGUUCAUAUUUUUUCUUUUUAUAUCCCUCAUUUCCCCUGCCUAGUGGUUAAAAUCAGUUAAAUAGUGUUAGACUACACCUCUGCCAUUUAUCCUUUGUUCAAGACCUUUGUUCAAGGUAUAGGUGUCUAUACCUUGAAUAUAACUUUAAUAUUACUACUUAAGUUACAUCACAUAUUUUAUCCAUUUGCUUAGUGAACCUAAUACUUGAUGUCCCUUGACCAUUACAAGGAGUAGAACAGAUAAUUUAAGAGAUUUCAUUAAAAAAAACCCUGAGUAAUAAAAUGUUUGAUUUAUUUUGGCCACAUUAAUGUUUUAUUGUUUAAACAAAUAAAUAGACUGCCUCAAAGUA